rnacentral:lncRNA from 1 species
CUUGCUAGUGAGAUGGAGUUGCACAAUCAUCAGCCUCACUCUUCCAGAGUCAUCAAAGUUCAGUACCAAGACAAAAUUCAGAAUGACCUCAAUGUAGUGAGGUCCAAUGACCACACAAUGAGGCCAGUGACCAGGAUGUAGUGGAUGACCCUGGCAUUUUCAAUGCCUGCCAAGCUCUAAGUACUCCACAAUGUUUGCUUCAGUCAUCUUCAUGACUGUUGGAACAAACUGUUCUCAUCUGCCCAUUUCACAGUGGGGAAGUCUUCGCAUGCUGGGGGUAGACAUCUCUGUUACUCACCAAUUGGUUUGAGAUCUGUUGUCCAUAAUCAACCUGGUUUAGAUGGUUUUAACAAAAUGGAGCUGCCAUUCAUUCUAUCACUUCUCAGAGCCACAGAUCUGUCAUGAGGGAAUAACUCCUUACUACUGGAGAGAGCCUAUUCCACUUUUUGAAAGCUCUUAUUGUUGUGACCUUCUGAAAUCUCUCCAUAUUAAGAGUCCCUGCUGGAAGGUACUGGAUCAAUACCAUCCCUUGCCAGUGCCAAGGGUAACAUGA